rnacentral:rRNA from 1 species
GACGAACGCUGGCGGCGUGCUUAACACAUGCAAGUCGAACGAUGAAGCCUUCGGGUGGAUUAGUGGCGAACGGGUGAGUAACACGUGGGUGACCUGCCCUGCACUUUGGGAUAAGCCUGGGAAACUGGGUCUAAUACCGGAUAGGACCACAGGAUGCAUGUUUUGUGGUGGAAAGCUUUUGCGGUGUGGGAUGGGCCCGCGGCCUAUCAGCUUGUUGGUGGGGUGAUGGCCUACCAAGGCUGCGACGGGUAGCCGGCCUGAGAGGGUGUCCGGCCACACUGGGACUGAGAUACGGCCCAGACUCCUACGGGAGGCAGCAGUGGGGAAUAUUGCACAAUGGGCGCAAGCCUGAUGCAGCGACGCCGCGUGGGGGAUGACGGCCUUCGGGUUGUAAACCUCUUUCAGCACAGACGAAGCGCAAGUGACGGUAUGUGCAGAAGAAGCACCGGCCAACUACGUGCCAGCAGCCGCAGUAAAAC